rnacentral:rRNA from 1 species
CUAGCUGUAAACGAUGGAUACUAGGCGUUGAGAUUAUCGACCCUCUCAGUGUCGUAGCUAACGCGUUAAGUAUCCCGCCUGGGGAGUACGCGCGCAAGCGUGAAACUCAAAGGAAUUGACGGGGGCCCGCACAAGCGGUGGAGUAUGUGGUUUAAUUCGAUGCAACGCGAAGAACCUUACCAGGGCUUGACAUGUCCGGAACCCUGCCCAAAGGCGGGGGUGCCUACGGGAACCGGAACACAGGUGGUGC